AACGAACGCUGGCGGCAGGCCUAACACAUGCAAGUCGAGCGCCCCAGCGAUGGGGAGCGGCGGACGGGUGAGUAACGCGUGGGAACGUGCCUCUUGCUACGGAAUAGCCUCGGGAAACUGGGAGUAAUACCGUAUGUGCCCUACGGGGGAAAGAUUUAUCGGCAAGAGAUCGGCCCGCGUUGGAUUUAGGUAGUUGGUGGGGUAAUGGCCUACCAAGCCGACGAUCCAUAGCUGGUUUGAGAGGAUGAUCAGCCACACUGGGACUGAGACACGGCCCAGACUCCUACGGGAGGCAGCAGUGGGGAAUCUUAGACAAUGGGCGCAAGCCUGAUCUAGCCAUGCCGCGUGAGCGAUGAAGGCCUUAGGGUGUAAAGCUCUUUCAGUGGGGAAGAUAAUGACUGUACCCACAGAAGAAGCCCCGGCUAACUCCGUGCCAGCAGCCGCGGUAAU
rnacentral:rRNA from 1 species